UCUGAGAACAAUGAAGCUCCCAUGAAGUAAGAGUAUCUUCUUUUAUUCCUUUCUCAUUGCUAAAAAGUCUCCUCCUGGGAGACUGAGGAAUCCACCAAACAAUGAGUCCUUCCAUGAAAGGGAGACACAGCCGGAAGGAAGUUGCUACUUCCCGAGCUGAUCACUCAUCUCGCCUUGGACUAAUCCCCAUGAAUCCUGCCCAAGCCAAUGCACCUUCUCGCCUACCGAGAGUCCGUGCAGCUCCUUCGGGACCACCAGCAUGGAGAGCUGAGGCAGGUGGAAGAUGGGACCGGAGGGAUUCCAAGCCCUUCUACCUCUAGAAAUCCAUGACUGUCCUUGACCCAAUGUCACUCACAGCCUUCCUCUGAGGCAUGCUCUUUGGGAGAUCAUCCCCAGGUGCCGAUUCCAGUACCAGCUGCUCCCCGCUAAUGUGCCUGUGAAAGCAGCAGAGGAUGGCCCAAGUCCUUGGGCCCCUGCACCCACGUGGAAGACCAGGAAGAAGCUCCUGGCUCCUGGUGUCAGAUCAGUCCAGCUCCAGCCGUUGUAGCCAUUUGGGGAGUGAACUAGUGGA